rnacentral:lncRNA from 1 species
AACAGAGGCUUCCCUCCACUUCACGAGUUGGCCCAUUGGAUAUAGCGCACGCACGCACGCAGAUCAGAUCGAUCAGUCCUUCAUCGCCCAAAAGAAAUAUCCAUCGAUCAGAUCCAGGAGCCUAACCGGCCACCAGCACCUCCCUGGCGCCCCUGUUCUACUCCCACGCGAUCGGCGAGCCGCCAGGCGGCCAUGGCCAGGGCUGUUGCCAUCGCCUGCUCGGCGAUCGGACGUGCGCACGGCGGCGCGGACAGCGGACGGCGCGACUAAUCUAUCCCCGCUCACUUCAGUUCCGAUCUCUGCAGUCGGCAGCAGAGAGCAGACAUUGAUUCAGUUUGAAACCAACAUCCCACGGAUUCAGGUAUAAUAUGCUAAUUAGAUGUAUUAAUCCAUCACUUCUGAAAUUGGGGCCUCUUCUCUCAUGCCAAUUCUUAUUUCUUGGUCGAAUUGAAUUCAUCUAUAGGGGCAUGAUUUUCUUCUUGUACUGCCAAACACUGUUUUUUUUUUUUGAGAAUUACACAAACUGAUCAAUCAGCCUGGUUAAAGUCUUUCCUCAAUGUAUCACUCAGCUCAUCUUGCAUGCCGGCAAAGAUCGCCCAACUUAGAUGCAAAAGCUGCUAGGGCAUGAGCAAGUUUGUUCUUGUCCCUCUGAAGCCAUUUUUUCAGAUGUGAUCCAAAAUGUCUACACCCCAACGAGAAGAGCGGGGUCCCCUGAUAGUCCCUGGCAACUGCAUUGCACCGCACCCGCUCUCACCCGUCGCGGCAACAAAGGGCGCGUCUGCAUUUAGUUUAAACCACGCCGGUGAUUGGAGGGCGCCAUUGCUCUCUGAUCGUACUCAGAGGAACCGGGCACUGAUCGUCAUACAAAUUCAUACAGAAAACGCCCCUCUCGGCCUCUGAUUUCCCCUGUGCGAUCCUGACUUCUUCCUCAUACUUGAGCAGGAAAGCAACUGAUCCCGAGAUGGUUUCCUUUCCAUUACUGUGGAUUAUAUUAUCCCGGAGAAACCAUGCCCGCCAUAACAUGAGUAGGAUUUUGUUUCGGGUAUCACCAUCGCAUGUAUUUAGGAGGUUCUGAAGCCAAUCCUCCCCGUGUACCGGAAAGCAUUUUCUUUUGGGAGCCUCCAAUGAUCUCUCAUUGCUUGUCUCAGGGCUCUACUUUUCAUACACGAUAUAACAUCAUGGAACUCAUCUUCCUCCGUGUUGCCGCAAAUAUCACAAGUGUUGUCCGUAGCAACAGUUCGUCUGCAUUUGUUAGCUUUGGUGGCUAGAUGUUUGUAGCCACCCUCCAUCCGUGUAUUUUAAUUUUUCCGGGGAUUCUCUCUUUCCAAAUAAGAUCCCAGCUGCUGCGGUCGUCAACACUCGCAGUGGAGCUAGAGGUCUGGGGCCGCUCCCUUUUGUUGCCAUCUCUAGCCUGUAGGCACUCUUCACAGUAAAAUUGCCGGAGUUCUCAUAGUGCCAAGCCACACAAUCCACAGUCUCCCCUUUUGGUAUUCUUAUUCUGACAAUUUCAGAAGCAUCAAAAGGAUUGAAUAUCCUGUUGGUAAGUCCAUGGUUCCACUCUUUAGUGACCGGAUCAAUAAGUUGGUUUACCCAUCUCAGCCUCGGCCUCCAUGUGAAGUUAGCAACCUUUAGGCCCUCUUUCCUUGGGAUCCAUUGGUUCCUUUGGAUUUGGAUGUUGUUUCCAUUACCACCCACUCUCCAAAUUAGCCUUCUCUUCAGCAGCUCUAGGCCGAACUCAAUUCCUCUCCAGGUCGGAGAUGCAUCAUAUGCAAAAAAACCGUGUCUAAUAGUUCUCCUUUAGGGUAGUAUUUGACUUGAGGACCCUCGCACACAAACUGUCCGGAUGGUGGAUCAACCUCCAUCCAUUUCUUACCAGCAAUGCUUGGUUGAAUAAGUGCAUGUCCCUUAAACUGAUGCCUCCUCCUCUCCUUGGUUUUGUCAUAUUGUCCCAUUCAUCACCCCAAUAUAAGUCUCUAAUCAGUCUCUCAUACUUGUCAUAGAACCCCAUGGACACCUUAAACAAAACCAUAGUAAAGGUAGGUAGGGCUUGGACAAUUGAUUUUACAUGGACUUCGACAUAUGUCUGCCCGACCCGUUGGUGCAUCUUUUCAUGAACCUUUCCAUAUUCGAUAAAAUUAUCUUCCUUAAUUCUACUAUCGGGGGUAGGUAAGCCAAUGUAUUUUCUUUCAAAAGUUGAGGCCUCAACUUCGAGUACCUCUCUAAUGCCAUUCUGGAUAGGGUCCAGACAUUUCUCACUGAACAACAAAGAGCACUUAUUUGGGCUUACGAGCUGACCAGUGCCCCUCUAGAAAGUGGAUAGCAUGUAUUUUACCACCUCUGCUUGAUCAACUGAAGCUUUGAAAAAAAGAAGGCUAUCAUCCGCGAAGAGCAGAUUAGAAAUUCCUGGGCUUCCUCGAGCAACUUUAGCGGCAAGAUGUCGCCACCACUAACUUCCAUCUGCAGAAUCCGUGAUAGGCCAUGUGCCGCAAACAGAAAUAAGUAUGGGCUGAGGGGGUCACCUUGUCUAAGCCCACGGGUCAGUUGGAAUCUCUCUAGUAGUUCUCCAUUGCAUUCCACAGAGUAUCUCACGGACCGGACACGAACCAUAAUCCAUGCUAUCCAUUUUUUGCCGAACCCAUAUUGGUCCAAAACACCCUCCAAGAACCUCCAAUCCACCCUGUCGUAAGCCUUGGCGAGGUCAAGCUUGUAUGCACAGUGUGUGUUCGUAGGAUAACUGCUAUGCUGGAUUUUGUGGAAACAUUCAAAAGCAAUCGGUGCAUUAUCCGUAAUCAUUUGGCCGGGAAUAAACAUAAUCUGUGUCUCGGAUAAAAGGCCAUCCGAGAGGGGACGCAGCCGGUUGACCAAGCAUUUUGAGAGCACCUUGUAGAUGACAUUACAUAGACUAAUCGGUCUGAAAUCCUUCAACGAUCGUGGAUCAUUACCUUUGGGAAUGAGAACAAUGGCGGUGUCGUUUAGGCCCUUGAGCAUGAUUCCCUCAUCAAAGAAAUUAUGUACAACCUUCACUACAUCAGUCCUCAAAAGCCCCCAAUUCCUUUGGUAAAAUCAGGCAGGGAGACCAUCCGGUCCAGGGGCCUUUAGCGGUCCAAUCUGAAAAAGCGCAUUGCCGAUUUCCUUAUCAGUAAAUUCUUUCUCGAGUUCAUCAUCCAUUUCUUGGCUGAUCAUCCGUGUGAACAUGUCUAAUAGUUCGUGUGGGUUAACAUUCUUGUCCUCGGUAAACAGUUCCUUAAAGUAAUUUGUUUUCAUGCUCUCGAGGUCCUUCUCAACCCACUGACCUACUCCAUUUUGCACUUCCAUAAUGGUGUUUUGUUUUCGUCUGCAAGUAGCUCGCUCGUGAAACCAUUCCAUGUUCAUAUCCCCCUCACGUAAAUAUGUUGCUUUAGACCUCUCUCGCCACAUGAUCGCCUCGCGUAAGAGUAAUUCAACCAACUCAUCCGCAACCCUUUUUAUCUCCCUGUCAUUUGUUGCACUCUGCGAUUUAUUCAUGAGGGAUUGCAGUUUACUCCGGAGCUUUUUUUGUUUGCCUAGCUAGCAACUGAACCAAACUCCGAAUUACUCCAUUUGCCGAGCCCCUGCUGUAAUGCACACACCUUGUUCUGAACCUCUUGUCGUGUUGCAGCAGAUCCUCCCUUGCUCCAAAUUUCCUGAACCAACUCAUCCAUCGACCCCUCUCUCUCCCACAUAUGGCUUCGUAUCUGAACUCCUUUUUCUUUCUAUACACCAUGUUGCCUCCAAACUAAAGUAGAAGCGGGAGAUGGUCAGACCUUGCUGAACAAAAAUACUGAAUGUUAGCAUUUUGAGUUAUAUUCUAGAAUGUAUAUUUUUCACGUUGUAUGAGGGGUUUCCUCCACAUUUACCAUCUGUACUUGUAUAUAUANNNNNNNNNNNNNNNNNNNNNNNUAUAUAUAUAUAUAUAUUGGUCAUUUGCUUUCAGGGAAUACAAGUUGCAUAUUUCUAAUGGUAUUAGAGCAUAGGUAUUUUAGCACGCGCAACUCGUGCUUGAUCCUCUCCUCAUCGUCGGCACGUUUCUUUUGGUCCGGUUGUUGCUUCCUACUCCUCCAACUACCCAACCUCUCCGCCUUGUCCCGAUCCACCUCGCGUCGCUCGCGUCAAGCCGCUGCGAAGGCGCUUGAUCUCCGUAUCUCGUCGCUGCUCCUGUUUUCGCCUUGAGCCGCCGCAAAGGUGCCCGAUCUCUGCGCCCGUCNNNNNNNNNNNNNNNNNNNNNNNNNNNNNNNNNNNNNNNNNNNNNNCUCUGCGCCCGUCACUGCCCUCGUAGCCGAUCUUCACCGCCAAACACCGCCCUCGCGUUUUCCCCGGAUCCCGGACCGCCGACCUUGUCAGAUCUUUGCCGCUGCCGCCCCCUCCCUGGGUCUACAUCCUCCUUAGCACUCUCUUUUUUUAGGCAAAUGUCUUCCUAUUCUCUCCUAUAGGGUUGGAGAUUGUCUUCACAAGAGUAGUCCACUGAGGAUAGAUACCGUCACAUGGGUAGUCUCAUUUGUUGUAGUGGUGGCCACUAAUCACAAGAUUGAGCUCUGGGCAGUUGCCUUUUGCAAGCCCUGCAAACACCGGAGAGUGUUGAAAUACAUUGAUGUCGUUGUGAGAUCCGGCCAUGUCAAAGAANNNNNNNNNNNNNNNNNNNNNNNNNNNNNNNNNNNNNNNNNNNNNNNNNNNNNNUGUAAAAUCCAGAAAUGUUGAGCCAUGGCCUCAAAUAUGACAGUGGAAGCUUUCACAUGGCCCCUAUACUAUCCCUGCCAAGUAGAAGGGUAGUUCUUUCACUCGUAGUGCAUACAAUCUAUGCUACCAAGAAUCCCCAGAAAGCCCUUACUCGCAUUGAUCCCCAACAACAAGGCUGUAUCUACAAUAUUUGGCUCCCUCAAGUGCUCCGGGCCAAACACUGCUACUAGAGCCUUGCAAAACUUGUACAUGUACUCUAGUCAUGUGGAGUUGCUCAUUCGGACAUAAUGGUCAAUGAGACCAGCGAAUACUCUGUAUGCAAGCAUUCGAAUAGUCGUAGUUCUUUUCUGAUAAGAGGAGAAGACAAUCUUUCUGAUACAUGGCAAAACCGAGGGUGUUGACCUUUUCACACUUGGAGGGGAAAAGGAGAGAAAUCAAACAAACACUCAAGACAAUCUUCGAUCACACAUCUGCUAAACCCAUGAAACACAAGAGGAUGCAAUGAUUCGAGUCCAAUACGGGAUACAAGUAAAGAUGAUAGUUCUUCCCACUCAAAGAGAUGUUGCCUUGAAUCCUUAGAGGAUUUUUCCUAUGAUAGGGAUCUUCUCACAAAAAGGUCAUCUCCAUGGAGGAGGAAGUGGAAGGAGCAAUGCUCAACUAGCUAAGAGCCAAACAUAUGCUAAGCCUAGAUGGAGGAGUCCUUUAUAUAGUCUUAGGCGAGAGAGAGGGGAGAGAGGGGGCCUUCGGCCCGUGUCUGUCUAAGCAAGGGCCGAAUGUCUAGCCGGGGCCCUCAUGUCUGGGGCUUCUUGGGACACCAGAUGUCCGGACAGGAGAGACACAAGUCCGCGAGGUUCUGGACCCUCUUUGCUGGAUUUCCACUCGAGGUCUGGAUUUCUAAACGGGUGCCUUAUGUCCGGCUAGGGGGUGGAUGUAUGUUUAGCGGCCGGAUGUUCGGCCGCUGAAGCUUCAGCUGGCCUUCGAUUCUGGACUGGUGGCGCCGGAUUUCUGGGCCCUCGGCCCGAUGACCAACCGCUGGGAGGUCUUUGUGACUUCCUUUGGAGCUUGCCUUCAUCCAUCUUCUCGUUUGUCUCUGUGGUUACUUGUCCUUCACUCCAAGUGUCUCCGAGGUCGUCUUCAUGAUACCGAAGUAUGAAAAACAUUCCUCCUUGAGGUAGCGACCAUGUCUCAAGUGGACAGAACUAUGGAUCGGUAAGGAGAGAUGUCACCUCGAUUUCGAUGGCGCGUCUGCGAGCUCUUGUCAUAGGAUCACUUGGAGCUUGAGAGGGUGUUGUAGAAUCCAUGGGGAUGACCAUGGGAUGCUCCCCAUCACUUUCCGAGGUCCUCCUCCCUGCACUCGAAAUAGUUAUCGUAUACCCCAUCCCCUCCCAGAUACGGCUGAACACAUGUCUAGUCAUCCGAAAACGGCGCCUUAAUAGGUGGUGUUUGAAGAGGGGGUUAGGGGACUAGAAGUAAUCCUUUCAGAGUAGGCAAUGACAGCUCUCUUUGUUACGAUUCAGUGUCGGAGUAUGGCCCGGGAUCGAGCCAUUGAACACCAUUCACUCCCUACUCAUUGUUGGGAAACAUAGUAUAAACCAAAAAAAGGCCCUACAAUGGACUAGGAACACCAUGAACAUAAAAUAACGGUUACGAUCAAAUGGUUACCAACUUUGAGUUGCAGCAGAAGAAGAUGAGUCGGUGUAAAUCAUUGAUGAAGUCCCUCAAUCACUAGAUGAAUGAUCUAGUGAACCGCCCACAAACAAUCCCUCGAACGUAAGGUCGAAAGCACAACAUCUCUAAGAGUUGCAACGUAAGGUCUUCAUGAUCCGACAGUGCUUCACCGUGCAGGGCUAAUCAUCGCCUGGGAAUUAGAGGGAGGAUAUUAAAACCACACUCUGCUUCAAUUACGAGGAUCAGAUGAUUACAAUUAGAGGGAGGAGAUUAGAACCAUUCGUCGUAACAAGAAAUUGCAACAUACUCGUUUUGGUGGUGAUAAAUAGGUAUCACAUCGAGUAAAAUGUUUGUAGCAACAAACUAUUGCUACAAUUUGAACCUUUUGUGGCGAUACUCUAUUUCAAAAAAAACUUAGCUUGGUGGCGCUAAAUAGCUACGACAAUGGGCAAAAUAUUUGUAGCAAGAAGCUACUAUGACAAUGUAAACCUUGUGAGCCGAUACUCUAUUUCAACAAAACUUACUUUCAUGGUGCCACACAAUUAUUGCAUCGUGAAGAAAAAUAUGAUGCCAAGCUAUUGCGACAAUAUAAAGUGCUUGACUGCAACAUCCUAAUGCAACAAAACACAUAGGCAUGGCGGCUGAGAUUUGAAGCAAUACUACAUUUUUCGUAGUGCUAACAUGUGGCAACCGAAAGUGGGUUAUGUUAAUAGCCUAUUGCAACCAUAAAAAUAAAACAUGUAUUCAAUUACAAUAUUCAAAAUCAUACAUAUAAUAUCUAGAUUUAUAAAAUUCAUAAUUCUCGUAGCAAGUAUCCAUCAAGUGAACAAAUGUAAUUUAGCCAUCCAAAUUAAAUGUCAAGACUAAACUGUCCGUGUUCUCGAGUCCAGUCUAGAUAGUUCUUUGGAUCCUACAAUUAAGAAAUCGGAAAAAAGUUCUAGUUAAUGAGCCCAACAUAACAUAUGCCAUAUAAUAUUCCAACCCAUUGUUGAAAAGAAAUGGCGCGAGCCUACCUGGACUAAUACCGUGUCAGCAAGUAUGUAACUAAGGGAUGAGAAUACUUUUACAAGUGUAAAUUUCUAAAGCUAAGCACAAGUACAUCUACUAAAGCUUCCGAAAUUGAUUUAAGUUGUGACUCGAUAUAUAAUUUCAGUUAACUUCGCGUCCCUAGCUAGCACAUAUUUGGUUUUUGUUCAAGUUGUGACGCAAUGCAACAACAACAUAUGGUGAAAGAGAAGAAGCAGCUAUCUAAUUAUGAUGGUUGAUGACGUAUAAAAUGGAGGUGAACAUGAAGAUAAAGAAAGGUUAUGACUUGCCAUUGCUUCAAACAUCGAGAAUUCCUUGUUGCACCUUGUAUGAUCGCAUUUGGAGUCUUAUUAGGACUAGAUAUAUGUAAAAGAGUAUUUUGUAAGUUUGGAAUACUAUUUUCUUUGUCAACCUUCUUCGUAGGCACGGGUAUAUAGAAGUGCACUUUUGGAAAUGCAAGUAAGCAAAAUAAAUCAUACAAGGUCACAAACAUAUGGUUGUAAUCACUUGUUGGUUCCCAUAUGUUCUGCUCAAUUCUGCAAACUUUUCCAUCAAGUUUUCUUUUUCAAAUUCCAGUCUUGAUAUUCGCUACGCUUCCAACAAUCUUUCCCUUUCAGCAUGCUCUUCUUUUAACCUCUCCUCAAGUUGUUCUCUCUUAGCACGCUCCAAGUUUAUCCUCUCUUGUGUGUUUGCAUGUUCAACUUGUAAUUGAUCUUGCAAUUCGUUGACCAGUUGGCUGAGCUCAGAGUUUUGAUGUUGGGUGACUACUGUAGCACGAGCUUGCUCUUCAUUCUAGAUAUGAAACCUUUCAAAAUUAGUUGAAUGUUUGGUUGCGUAUCUCUACUUACGAGGCUGCGAUGACUUGCAUUACAAAGUGUCUUUGUAUGCGGUCUAAAAAAUAUUGUUUCUCUGCUCACUUGAAAGUGGACCUUGAGUUCCAGUUUCUUUGUUUUUCAACCUCUUGACAUGCUUUGUCCUAAACAUGAAAAGACCAAUUAUAGGUAUGGCAUCAAUAUUGACACUAUAAAAGAUGAAAAAAUAAUAACAUGAUCCAACAAUAACAUGAUCCAACGCAUGAAUAAUC